rnacentral:rRNA from 1 species
GCUGACAUAACAACUAAGCCACAAAUAUACAUUUAUUGAAAAACAAAACAUUUGACCAACCCAGUAGAUGCGAUCGAACAGUCACACGUCACAACAAAGUACCGUAAGGGAACCACCAUCAAGCAACAAAUAGCAAAGACUAACCCUUGUACCUUUUGCAUCAUGAUUCAGCAAGAACACAAGAACAAGAAGAAUCACAGCUCUUCCACCCGAAACCGAACGAGCUAUUUUUAAGCAGUCUAACGGACGCACCCUUCUAUGUAGCAAAAAGUGGGAAGACUAAAAAUAGAGU